UACGUAGGGGCCAAGCGUUGUUCGGAUUUACUGGGCGUAAAGGGCGCGUAGGCGGCGCGGUAAGUCACUUGUGAAAUCUCUGAGCUUAACUCAGAACGGCCAAGUGAUACUGCAGUGCUAGAGUGUGGAAGGGGCAAUCGGAAUUCUUGGUGUAGCGGUGAAAUGCGUAGAUAUCAAGAGGAACACCGGUGGCGAAGGCGGGACUCUGGGCCGAGUACUGACGCUGAGGAGCGAAAGCGUGGGGAGCAAACAGG
rnacentral:rRNA from 1 species